AUUGAACGCUGGCGGCAGGCCUAACACAUGCAAGUCGAGCGGAUGAAGGGAGCUUGCUCCUGGAUUCAGCGGCGGACGGGUGAGUAAUGCCUAGGAAUCUGCCUGGUAGAGGGGGAUAACGUCCGCAAACGGGCGCUAAUACCGCAUACGUCCUGAGGGAGAAAGUGGGGGAUCUUCGGACCUCACGCUAUCAGAUGAGCCUAGGUCGGAUUAGCUAGUUGGUGGGGUAAAGGCCUACCAAGGCGACGAUCCGUAACUGGUCUGAGAGGAUGAUCAGUCACACUGGAACUGAGACACGGUCCAGACUCCUACGGGAGGCAGCAGUGGGCAAUAUUGGACAAUGGGCGAAAGCCUGAUCCAGCCAUGCCGCGUGUGUGAAGAAGGUCUUCGGAUUGUAAAGCACUUUAAGUUGGGAGGAAGGGCAGUAAGUUAAUACCUUGCUGUUUUGACGUUACCAACAGAAUAAGCACCGGCUAACUUCGUG
rnacentral:rRNA from 1 species